CUGAUCUUCAUGUGGAGCAGUAUUUAAAGUCUGGCUUCCUGUGUUCUCACUUUCUGAUGGUCACCAUUAGUUGAAUCCAGCUCCAAAUCAGUGUCCAUCUACCAAGCUACACCACCCACCUCCCUCUUCUCCAGCUGCUGCAGAGAGCUUGCCUCCCACAUCAAACUGCCCCUGCUUCCAGAGACGCCUUCCUUCCUUGUCUGCCUGUUAACCCAAAAAUAAACUUUGCUCCUUUGUCCUAGCCUGGCCGGCUGUAUUCUGGGUGCAGCACCCAGCUCUUCACAGCUGAGCAGGGAAGGCUGGUAGGAUAACAGGACUCUUUAGAAGAAGACUUGAUGUGUUUCUGCCAGUGCAGCUUUAACUGAGAUCACAUGCUUUAAUAAACACUAUUGGCAUUCAUCUAUCCAUGGAUAGGGUGGCUUCCUUUCUCCAGCCGGCACAGGAUGAGGCUGCGGACGGAUCACCAGUCUACCAUCGGACUGCCUGCAUUCAACUGUGAACUUCUGAUGGAAAGAAGUAAUGAAGCUUUCAUCUCCUCCUGGAAACAGCUUCUGAAAUGUGGGCCCGCGAAUACUCUCACUGUUGCUGGUCCAUUUGCAUCCAUGCACUUUAACCUCGCCUGA